rnacentral:lncRNA from 1 species
CUCUCUCUCUCUCUCUCUCUCUCUCUCUCUCUCUCUCUCUCUCUCUCUCUCUUAUAGAUUAGCAGCUUCAAGCCCAUCCCCAUUAUCUUUACCCGCUACUCUCACAAGUCCCUCCGAGUACGGCACGCUCAACGAGUGGGGGUGUAGUGACCUCAUCUUCGACGACGAUGGAGGAGAAAUACCCAUCUCCUACCCAUCGAAAACUGAAGCCCUGCUUUGUGAGACCUCGUUACAAACUUGGAGGCCUUUGGUUUCCCCUACUUCCCUUCGUCGAACCAUUUUCUGGGUAUUCAUGGAUUUUGAUAUGUUGUAUGGAGGAUUGGUUAUGUUGGGGUAUGGGUUGUGAGUGAUUAAAUCUAGUGAGGGAAAAGGGAAAUUAUGGUUGUAGAGAGAGAAGGUUGGGGCUGUAAGGUGGGAACUUGCGGGCAAAAGGGGAUGCAAUGCCUUUUUUUCUUACUAAUAAUUUAAUUUUUCAUUUCUUUUUCUUUUUUCUUUUGACUUUUUGAAUUUUUAUUGUUGUUCUUAUUUUUUUUGAAUUUUUUGAUUGGUUUAUUGUUUAUGUGGAGUGCACAUCAUCAUAAAAAUAACUCAUGUAUACAAAAUUACUUAAACACCCCUGCCACAUCAUCAAUUUUAACAGAGUUUUGGAUGAAGUUGACGUCAGGGGGUAAAGUGGGUCACAAAACCACGGUCAAGCAGGGUAAUUGGGGCCACUUUAAGUUUUGGGGGGCAAUGUGAGAUUUGACCGAAGUUUCAAGGGGUACUACAGUAAAUAAGCCUAUGAGAUAUGAAUUUUAUAAUAAAUAUUGACACGUGGGAACCCAAAAUCUUAUCCGAAAAUCUUCUCCAGAUUAAUUGUUUAGUUAAAAAAAAUUAGAAGUGAAUAGUAUUUGCCAUUUGCCAUGGCAAUGAGUGGAAACACACCUUGCCUUUUGCAAGGGCUGCCACUAUUCACAUGAAUAGUAACAACCCUUGC